rnacentral:lncRNA from 1 species
UUUUGCAAAAAUGGAGACAAGCACAUUAAGUUAGAGACAAAGGUAAGGUACAACUCUCGGGCACCAAGUCAAGGUCCCUGCUAUUGGAAGCUCCAUUGCAUGGGGUCUGGAAAUGCAAUGUGGACGGUACAAUUUUUGACGCAAGUUAUGAGGCAGGAUAGGGAGCAGUCGUCCGAGACUCGGCAAAAAAAGUAUUGAUGGUUUUCUCUAAUAGGUUAUGAGGGUGUUGAUCUCCCUAUCUAACUAAACUACUUGGCUACCGUAAUUCACUGCAAUAUAUAAUCUCCAAUAUCAUUGGGUCGGGCGUUAUCGAAGUGGAUGCACAAAUGGUAAAAAAUGCUUUGACGACCAAUGGGGAAGAUUGUUCUGAGUUUAGAUUCAUUGUUGAAGAUUGUAGGACUCUGCUGGCAUUUCGAGCUAAUGUAUCCAUAAGUUGGGUUCGAAGACAAGGCAACAGUAGUCCAUAACAUUGCGUAGACUGCUCGUUCCCAUUCUUGUUUGUAUGUUUGGGAGAGUUUACCUCCCAAUAUUGUUGUAAUGUUUUCCUAACUCUUAAUGAAUUGAUUACUUAAAAAAAUGAAGACACUAGACUUUUUAUUAUUUAU